AGUGAACGCUGGCGGUAGGCCUAACACAUGCAAGUCGAACGGCAGCACAGUAAGAGCUUGCUCUUACGGGUGGCGGGUGGCGGACGGGUGAGGAAUACAUCGGAAUCUACUUUUUCGUGGGGGAUAACGUAGGGAAACUUACGCUAAUACCGCAUACGACCUACGGGUGAAAGCAGGGGAUCUUCGGACCUUGCGCGAUUGAAUGAGCCGAUGUCGGAUUAGCUAGUUGGCGGGGUAAAGGCCCACCAAGGCGACGAUCCGUAGCUGGUCUGAGAGGAUGAUCAGCCACACUGGAACUGAGACACGGUCCAGACUCCUACGGGAGGCAGCAGUGGGGAAUAUUGGACAAUGGGCGCAAGCCUGAUCCAGCCAUACCGCGUGGGUGACGAAGGCCUUCGGGUUGUAAAGCCCUUUUGUUGGGAAAGAAAAGCAGCAGGUUAAUACCCCGCUGUCCUGACGGUACCCAAAGAAUAAGCACCGGCUAACUUCGUG
rnacentral:rRNA from 1 species